UAUACAUAUAUAUCGGCAGAAUUGUUUAGAGUUGUUAUUUCAUUUAAAAAGUUGAAAUCCUAAAUAAAUUAAGUAUGGAAAGUGGUAGUAGUGACAACGAAAGUGCGUCAAAUUCUAGUGCGCCGCUAACGCCAAUUAAAAAGCGAAAAAUUACAAAAGGACUCCAAAAAUUUAAACCGGAGUGGGAAAGAGAGUAUGGCUGGAUUACUGAAGAUUCCCAAAAUAUUUAUAAUGCGAAAUGUAAACAUUGUAAUAUAACAUUUUCUGUGGGGAAAAGUGGCAUUGGCCAGAUUAAACAACAUAGUGAAACAAAGCACCACAAACUUAAAACUGAACUUUACAAGAAAACUUCUACAUUAGACAGGUUUUUUGGUUCGACGGGCUCUUCAUCUACCUCUCUUACUUGUGAUGAUAAGAUUUCAGCCAGUGAACUUGCUUUAACCUACCAUAUUGUAAAACACAAUCUUUCUUAUAACAGCAUGGACUGUACUGUAAAAUUAAACAAAAUCAUUUAUGCUGAUUCUAAAACCGCUUUGAACAUAAAAUUAGGACGCACUAAAAUGGAAGCACUGGUUAAUGAGGUUUUGGGACCUUAUGCAUUACAAACUUUAUUGAAUGACUUAAAUGCUCCUAAUUUUAUAUUUUUGUUUGCAAACUGAUGCAAGUAAUAGAAAAAAUAUUAAAUUAUUUCCUUUAGUUGUACAAUAUUUUGAUAUUGAGAAUAGGAUACAAAACAAGUUAUUAGACUUUUACGAAAAUUGUGAUGAAUCUGCAAACGGUAUGUUUGAUGCUAUAAACAGUUCACUAUCCUA